rnacentral:misc_RNA from 1 species
AAUAUCAUUAUCUUUCACAAAUAGCUUGACUCAUAGAGACGAUAAACAUGGAGAUAGACAGUACCAUCAGGAUCAAAUACAGGUCCAACGUUUAAUAAAACUAGUAUUGCAUAGAAGUGACAAGAUUUUAGGAUAGAAGUGUCUCACAAAGAACAAUUUCAAAACCCACAAAUAUGCUGCUCAGCAAAUGCCUCAUAGUCAACAAGACAUAAUGACAAAUUAACCUUUGAAACAAACUUCACCAUCACAAAUCCAUCCCUCAUUUGUUUUCUGUUCCUCUUUGCCUUGAUCCUUUUGAUCUUCCUCGAUAUCCA